rnacentral:sRNA from 2 species
CUGCUGUGCAUAUAUGCAAACUUCUUUUGGAUUAUGACCCGGGAAUUCCUCAAGGCCUUUUUCAAUCUUUAGUUUUGCCUUUCAAGGAUGAAAUGGAAAGGCUUCUUCGGGUAGAGAAAUAUCUCUAUUCCCGUCAAACGCGAGCCAGAUUUUCUGCUUCGAGUAUAUUCAACGAUUUUGGCCUUCGAUAUUCCUUUUCUGUCAAGUACUUCGAUCAAUGUCACGAGCUACAAAACACUCUGGAGGAAAUUGAGAGGUGGGCAACACGGGAGAGACAGAUUAAACGCGAAGAACUCCGACGAAAAAAGGAGAACUACAAUGACC